rnacentral:rRNA from 1 species
ACUUAGCGGCGGACGGGUGAGUAACGCGUGGGUAACCUGCCUUAUACAGGGGGAUAACAGUUAGAAAUGACUGCUAAUACCGCAUAAGCGCACGGGAACGCAUGUUUCUGUGUGAAAAACUGAGGUAGUAUAAGAUGGACCCGCGUCUGAUUAGCUGGUUGGUGGGGUAACGGCCUACCAAGGCGACGAUCAGUAGCCGGCCUGAGAGGGUGACCGGCCACAUUGGGACUGAGACACGGCCCAAACUCCUACGGAAGGCAGCAG